UCGGAACUAACAUAUUUCCCGUCGUCCGGAGCUGUGACACUUCUACUAGCCAGAGUACUCUGCGUUUGAGGGACAGGCUUCAGGCAGGCUCAGUGACCGCACGCUGCAGUGAAAACCUACGACACGGAGAGGGGAAGGGGCUUGUCUGGCCCCGCACAGGGCUCCGAGGUUUACCAGCUUAUAAAUAAGGUAUUUGGGGUUUAAUUGAGCAAGUCGGUCGUGGCCCAGGGCAGGAGUGGCGCUACAUGAGCAAUUAAAUCUGAUUAGCCCGAGCCCUUUAAGCCCCAGCUGGGUGAUUGAUAACCGAGACCAACAUUCUUCAAUUGACUCGCUACAUCAAAAAGGAGAAAGGCUUAGAGGAGAAACGCAUGGAUCCAACAUGAAAAAUAGCAAAGGAGCCAAGCAGAUUAGAUUUGCAAAGAAGCUGAGCUAACGGCAAAGUGAGUAGGGAGAACAGUCAUGGGCAGCCCAUAAGACAAAUCCGCUGAAGUGACCCAAGCUGGAGCGAGAAUGGGAAAAGGCCACUGCCUUUUUUUUUUUUUUUUUUU